rnacentral:rRNA from 1 species
UACAGAGGGGGCAAGCGUUAUUCGGAAUUAUUGGGCGUAAAGGGCGCGUAGGCGGGUCUUUAAGUCGGUGGUGAAAUCCUGGAGCUCAACUCCAGAACUGCCUUCGAUACUGGGAAGCUCGAGUCCGGGAGAGGUGAGUGGAACUGCGAGUGUAGAGGUGAAAUUCGUAGAUAUUCGCAAGAACACCAGUGGCGAAGGCGGCUCACUGGCCCGGUACUGACGCUGAGGUGCGAAAGCGUGGGGAGCAAACAGG